rnacentral:rRNA from 1 species
CCUACGGGAGGCAGCAGUGGGGAAUAUUGCACAAUGGGGGAAACCCUGAUGCAGCGACGCCGCGUGAGUGCAGAAGUAUCUCGGUACGUAAAGCUCUAUCAGCAGGAAAGAAAAUGACGGUACCUGACUAAGAAGCCCCGGAUAACUACGUGCCAGCAGCCGCGGUAAUACGUAGGGGGCAAGUGUUCGCCGGAUGUACUGGGUGUAAAGGGAGCGUAGACGGGGCUGCAAGGCCGGAGUGAAAGCCCAUGGCUUAACCAUGGUACUGCGCUGGAAACUGUAGAGCUUGAGUGCGGGAGGGGCAGGCGGAAUUCCUAGUGUAGCGGUGAAAUGCGUAGAUAUUAGGAGGAACACCGGCGGCGAAGGCGGCCUGCUGGACCGUAACUGACGUUGAGGCUCGAAAGCGUGGGGAGCAAACAGGAUUAGAUACCCUUGUAGUC